rnacentral:rRNA from 1 species
CCCUUAGAUGUUCUGGGCCGCACGCGCGCUACACUGAUCGGUGCAACAAGCAUCCGUCCUUGGCUCGAUAGGCCUGGGUAAUCUUUGAACGCCGGUCGUGAUGGGGAUAGAUCCUUGCAAUUUUUGAUCUUCAACGAGGAAUUCCUAGUAAAUGCGAGUCAUCAUCUCGCGUUGAUUACGUCCCUGCCCUUUGUACACACCGCCCGUCGCACCUACCGAUUGAAUGGUCCGGUGAAGCCUCGGGAUUGCGAAUGCUUCGUGCGGACGCGAGAACUUGGCUAAACCUUACCAUUUAGAGGAAGGUGAANUCGUANCA